UACAGAGCGUGCGAGCGUUAAUCGGAAUUACUGGGCGUAAAGCGCACGUAGGUGGCGACGUAAGUCGGGUGUGAAAGCCCCGGGCUCAACCUGGGAAUUGCAUUCGAGACUGCAUUGCUGGAGUACGGAAGAGGAGGGCGGAAUUCCGGGUGUAGCGGUGAAAUGCGUAGAUAUCGGGAGGAACAACAGUGGCGAAGGCGGCCCUCUGGUACAGUACUGACACUCAAGUGGGAAAGCGUGGGGAGCAAACAGG
rnacentral:rRNA from 1 species